AUGAAGGCGGGUGCUACUUCUAUGUGGGCUUCCUGCUGUGGGCUGCUGAAUGAAGUCAUAGGAACUGGAGCUGUCCGAGGCCAGCAGGUGGGAUUUCCAGGAAGCACUGGCCCAUUCAGAUUUACACCGAGCUCUGACUUCCCCUCCUACCCACCAGCAGCUACUGAAGGACCCAAUAUAGUUUGCAAAGCCUUUGGACUUUCAUUUUCAGUCUUUAGAAAGAAGCAUGUCUGCUGUGACUGCAAGAAGGACUUCUGCUCCCUUUGCUCAGUCUCACAAGAAAACCUCCGUAGAUGCUCUACUUGUCACCUACUACAAGAGACAGCCUUCCAGCUCCCUCAGUUGAUGCGACUAAAAGUGAAGGACCUGCGGCAGUAUCUCCUCCUCAGAAACAUACCAACCAACACUUGUCGUGAGAAGGAAGACUUGGUGGAUCUAGUACUAUGCCAUUGAGGACUAGGCUCAGGGGAUGACCUGGACUCAAGUAGCCUGAAUUCUUCAAGGUCCCAGACUUCUAGUUUUUUUACACAAUCCUUUUCAAAUUAUACACCCCCCUCCGCUACUGUAUCCUCCUUCCAGGGAGAGCUCAUGGACAGAGAUGACACCUUCAGAUCAGAAGUUCUGGCACAGGUACAAAGUGAAAUAACUUCAGCAAACACAGAUGAUGAUGAUGACAAUGACGAAGAUGACGAUGAUGAAGAUGAUGAUGUCGGACCUGUCAAGCCUUGAAGAGGUAGAAGGGAUGAGCGUGCGCCAGCUGAAGGUGAUCCUGGCUUGGAAUUUUGUCAACUAUUCUGGCUGUUGUGAAAAAUGGGAGCUGGUAGAGAAAGUCAACCAGCUAUACAAAGAGAAUGAAGAAAACCAAAAGUCAUAUGGCGAGCGGAUGCAACUUCAGGAUGAGGAGGAUGACAGCUUGUGCCGAAUCUGCAUGGAUGCAGUCAUUGACUGUGUCCUGCUGGAGUGUGGGCACAUGGUCACCUGCACCAAGUGUGGCAAGCGCAUGAGUGAGUGUCCCAUCUGCAGGCAGUAUGUGGUUCGAGCUGUGCAUGUUUUUAAGUCAUGAAGUUGAGGCCCCUGCAGUAGGACACUCACCUGAUGUUACCCCAAACAUUUCAAUGCACUAAAGGGAUGGGAAACU